rfam:Triticum aestivum genome assembly, contig: Triticum_aestivum_CS42_TGACv1_scaffold_115650_2AS
UUUGUACUCCCUCCGUCCCAAAAUUCUUGUCUUAAAUUUGUCUAAAUACGAAUGUAUCUAGUACUAGAUACAUCUGUAUCUAGACAAAUGUAAGACAAGAAUUUUGGGAUGGAGGGAAUACUAC